GGGGGGGGGGGGGGGGGGGCGGGGGGGGGGGGGGGCGGGCGCGGGGGGCGGGGCGGGUGGGGGGGGGGGGGGGGGGCGAACGGGUGAGUAACACGGGAGUAACCGGCCCUCUUCUGUGGGAUAACGCCCGGGAACGGGUGCUACUACUGGGUAUUCACGGCUCUUCGCAUGGGGGUGGGUGGAAAGGGGUGUUCUGGGGUGGGAUGGGCUCGCGGCCUAUCCGCGUGUUGGUGGGGUGAUCGCCUACCAAGGCUUUGCAGGGUAGCCUGCCUGGGAGGGGGACCGGUCACAUUGGGACUGAGAUACGGCCCAGACUGCUACGGGAGGCAGCAGUGGGGAAUAUUGCACAAUGGGCGAAAGCCUGAUGCAGCGACGCCGCGUGAGGGAUGGAGGCCUUCGGGUUGUAAACCUCUUUCGCUCAUGGUCAAGCCGCAACUGUGGGUUGUGGUGAGGGUAGUGGGUAAAGAAGCGCCGGCUAACUACGUG
rnacentral:rRNA from 1 species